rnacentral:rRNA from 1 species
UACGGAGGGUGCAAGCGUUGUCCGGAUUUAUUGGGUUAAAGGGUGCGUAGGCGGCCCGGUAAGUCAGUGGUGAAAGCCUCCAGCUCAACUGGAGAACUGCCAUUGAUACUGCCGGGCUUGAGUACAGACGAGGUUGGCGGAAUUGAUUGUGUAGCGGUGAAAUGCAUAGAUACAAUCAAGAACUCCGAUUGCGUAGGCAGCUAACUAGGCUGUAACUGACGCUGAGGCACGAAAGCGUGGGGAGCGAACAGG